rnacentral:rRNA from 1 species
CUCAGAACGAACGCUGGCGGCAUGCCUAACACAUGCAAGUCGAACGAGACCUUCGGGUCUAGUGGCGCACGGGUGCGUAACGCGUGGGAAUCUGCCCUUGGGUUCGGAAUAACAGUUAGAAAUGACUGCUAAUACCGGAUAAUGUCUUCGGACCAAAGAUUUAUCGCCCAAGGAUGAGCCCGCGUAAGAUUAGCUAGUUGGUGGGGUAAAAGCCUACCAAGGCGACGAUCUUUAGCUGGUCUGAGAGGAUGAUCAGCCACACUGGGACUGAGACACGGCCCAGACUCCUACGGGAGGCAGCAGUGGGGAAUAUUGGACAAUGGGCGAAAGCCUGAUCCAGCAAUGCCGCGUGAGUGAUGAAGGCCCUAGGGUUGUAAAGCUCUUUUACCAGGGAUGAUAAUGACAGUACCUGGAGAAUAAGCUCCGGCUAACUCCGUG